rnacentral:tRNA from 1 species
UGGAAUCUAAUUUAAUGGCAAAAUAUAUGACUCUGACUCAUAAUAUCUAGGUUCGAUUCCUAGGAUUCCAG